rnacentral:rRNA from 1 species
AGGACGAACGCUGGCGGCGUGCUUAACACAUGCAAGUCGAGCGGAAAGGCCCUUCGGGGUACUCGAGCGGCGAAUGGGUGAGUAACACGUGAGUAAUCUGCCCCUAGCUCUGGGAUAGCUCCGGGAAACCGGGAUUAAUACCAGAUACAACCACUUUAGACAUCUCUUGUGGUGGAAAGAAUUUCGGCUAGGGAUGAACUCGCGGCCUAUCAGCUUGUUGGUGAGGUAACGGCUCACCAAGGCGACGACGGGUA